rnacentral:lncRNA from 10 species
GCGUCUUGACGGCUGCUCCCCUCCUUUCCUCCCGCCACAAGCGCUCGCUGUGGUUCUGGCAGCGAAGUGCGAGACUGGGCUCGCCAGGCGGAAGUGGUUGGAGACUGCGUGUUUUCCUAGAAAGUCCUCGACCUUCGUCGGGGAGAGGAGGGGAGUGAUAAAUUGGAAGGCGGACAAGCGACAAGUGCGGUACUGGAAAGACCCAAACAUACUUGGUUGUGACCUCAGGUCACAUCUCCCAAGAAGCAGUAAUGUUCCAGCAAUAAGAAAAGGACAGUUUUUUGUCUUUUGCAUGGUGAGCCUUAUAUGAAUUACAUCAAUUUUGUCACCAAUAUCCAUCAUCAGAACAUUUUGGUAAGUAAAGAAGCUGAUUUCUGUUGAACAUUUAUACUAUAUAUCAGAGUUGCAAAAAUGAGAUGCCUACAGGGGCUGUGCAUAUGAUAUAAAUGGCGGGAGUCAGGUGGGCCCAUUGAAAGGUGUAAUCCCCUGGCUGUUGCCAGUUGGCUGUUGACAUUCACAAAUGUUGGCUCAGUGUAAAUAGAUCAUUUUUUCCCCUCCCACAAGAAGCUAAAAAAGCUGAACUUUUGGGUAUAAUUAUCCAAAUUUAAAUAUUAGCAACUGAUUCAAAAAUUUUAAAACUCUGCCCUGGGC